GGGGAAGGUGCUGUCGUCCAGAACAGGGGGUGAGGAGCUGGGACCCCCAGGGUCAUUCAUCACAAGACAUCGAGGCCAGGAAACUCGUGGCCUGAAGCCAAAAAGCACGCCUUAGUCCCGGCUAGCUCUGUCCUGUCCACGACUGCGUGGACGAGACAGAGAGAAUGGGUUACAGACCAGCGGGCGAUCCAGGGGCCCAAAAGAGUCGGGUGGCAGAGGACACCAGCGCCCGGAUCACUCACCACUAAGCAGAUAGCCUUAACCACCACUUACCGUGCGGAACAGUGUGCCCCCCGCAGUGCACAGCUGGACAGGUGCGCACAAAACCCAGAUCAGUACAGCACGACCAGCCCCCAGAAGCCUCCUCGCACCGCUCCAGUCACCAACUGCCCCCCAGGCACCCUGUCACUGCGGCUGGUCGCAAGGCCAGAGGGUGAUGCUCACCAUCUCCAUCCUUGGCCGCCGUUCUAGCUUCCUCUGCCCUCAACUAGCACCUCUAGGUGCUACCUGGUGGACUUACCUGGUGGACUGAGUCUGCGCCCCUGGUUGUGACGUGCUUCUCAGGCUGUGGCUGCUGAUUUAUCUACUCGCAGGCAGAACUCGGGGGAGAAAGACCAAGAGAUGCCCCCAGCGGAUCACCUGGUUGCCAUACGUAUUCGUCUCCGCCCCCACAAUGUAAUAGCAGCUCCACUGCCUGCUGAUGCCCGGGCCAAUUUCCCCUACCAGGAUGGUCUUUUGGCAAAAAAGAGCCUGAAGUGACCCGGUGGCAGGCAUGAGUUCACAUUUAGUGGGAUUCUUACGGUGAAUCAUGGUGGAAGUGUCCCCUUCUGGGAGGCAGGACCCCAUGAUCACAGAGCCUAGAGUUGUGAGGAUGGAGAAUAUAAAUUUGACCCACUCUGAGUAAGGCAGAUUAGGGCCCCACCUUUAUGACUGGAGGUGAGGGUGAGUGGGACGGCUCCUCCUGGAACCCUUGGCUCCCAGCCCCUGGACUCUGCCUCCUGGCAGCACAGCAUCACACACCCUAGAGUAUGGCACCCCAUCUUCACAGGAACAUCUCCGAGGCAGUCUUAGCUGUGCCCUCAAGGCUGUCCCAUUCCUCCAUCAGGCCAGCACUACUGGGGUGAACGUGCCGUAGCACCACGGCAGAUGCCCACUGCCCCAUCCCCUUGGGUGCAAAGUUUGUUCUUCCUUUUCUAGUUCCUUAAGGUGGAAGGUGAGGAGAUUGACUUGAGAUCUUCUUUCUUCUUUAAGGCAGACUUUGAUGGCUAUGAAUUUCCCUCCACUUUAAUUGCAUCCCUCAUGGUUUCAGUCUGUUGGGUUUUGGUUUUCAUUCUCUUCAAAGACCUUUCUCGUUUUCCUCAUCAAGCUUUGACCCAUUGGCUGUUUAGGAGUGUGUUGUUUCAUUCUUACCUGUCUAUGAAUUUUCCAAAUUUCCUUAGUGAUUGAUUUCUAAUUUCAUUCUGUUGUAUUCAGAGAAACAUUUUUCUCUGAAUAUUUUGUAUGAUUUCAAUCUUUUUAAAUGUAUUGAGACCUGUUUUAUGCCAUAACAUAUGGUCUAUCCUGGAGAAGGUUCCAUGUGCCCUUGAGAAGAAUGUGUGUUCUGCUGUUGUUGGGUGAGUGUUUAUAGGUAUCUCUUAGGUCUCAUUGCUAGAUAGUUUUGUUCAAGUUUUUUAUUUCCUUGCUGAUUUUCUAAUUGUUCUAUCCAUUAUUGAAAGUGGAGUACUGAAGCCUUCAACUACUAUAGUUGAAUUCUCUAUUUCUCCUUUCAAUUCUACCAUUUUUUGCUUCGUGUAUUUUGGAGCUCUGUUGUUAGGUACAUAUCUGUUUAUAAUUGUUAUAUCUUCUUGAUGGAUUGAUUCUUUUAUCCUUCUUUGUCUCUAAUAACAAUUUUGUGUGUGUGUGUGUGUAAGGAAGAUUGGCCCUGAGCUAAGAUCUGUUGCCAAUCCUCCUCUUUUUGCUUGAGGAAAAUUGUCACAGAGCUAACAUCCAUGCCCAUCUUCCUCUAUUUUAUGUGGGAUGCUGCCACAGCAUGGCUUGACAAGCAGUGCAUAUGUCUGCACCUGGGAUCCAAACGCACAAACCCAGGGCCACCGAAGCGGAGAGCAUGAACUCAACCGCUAUGCCUUGGAGCCCGCCCCUAAUAACAAUUUUUGUACUAAAGUCUAUUUUGAGUGAUAGCAGUAUAGCCACUCCACCUCUCUUUUGAGUACUACUUGCUUGGAAUAUCUUUUUCCAUUCUUUUACUUUCAACCUAUUUAUUUGUGUCUUUGGUUCUAAAGUGAGUCUAAAGUAGAUGGCAUAUUACUGGAUACGUUAUUUUAUCCAGUCUGCCAAUUUCUGCCUUCUAAUUGAACAGUUUAAUCUAUUUACCUUAAAUGUAAUUGCUUGUGAGAACUUACUUGUGUCAUUUUGCUAUUUGUUUUCUAUAUGUCCUUUGUUCCUCAGUUCCUCUGUUACUGCUUUCUUUUGAGUUAAAUAGAUAUUUUCUAGUGUACCACUUUAAUUCCAUUGUAAUUUCUUUUGCUAUAUUUUUGAGUUAUUUUCAUGUGGUUGCCCUAUGGAUUACAACUAAUGUCUUAAUUUGUAACAAUCUAUUUCAGAUUAAUAACAAUUUAGUUUCAAUGGUAUACAAAAACUUCGCUCAUAUAUAUCUCCAUCCCCCAAGCUUUAUGCUAUUAUUGUCAUCCAAACCAUGUCUUUAUACAUUGUGUACCCAUCAACCUAGAUUUAUAAUUAUCACUUUAUGCACUUUUUAAAAUCAGUCCUUUUAUAAAGAAGUUACAAACUAAAAAUGCAUCCUCUGUCAAUCUUAUUGAGGAUUGCUUGACAUAAUGUGUCACUUCUGUCUCACGGCUUUCAAGAUCCUCACUCUGUCUUUAGCUUUUGACAGUUUGAUUGUGAUGUCUCUAGAUGUGGAUCUCUGAGUUCUUUGAGCUUCUUAGAUGUGUAAAUUAAUGUUUCUCAUCAAAUUUGGAAAGUUUUUGGCCACUAUUUCUUCAAACGUGCUUUCUUUCACUUUCUCUUCUCUCCUUCUGGAACUCCCAUUAUGCAUAUAUUGGUAUGCUUGAUGGUGUCCCACAGGUCUCGGGGCUCUGCUCAUCUUUCUUCAUUCCUUGUUCUUUCUUUUUCUCAGACUGGAUAAUCUCAAUUGACCUGUCUUCAAGUUUGCUGAUUCUUUCUGCUUCCUCAAAUCUGCUGUCAAACUGUUCUAGUGACUUUUUUAAAAAUUUCAGUUAUCAUGCUUUUCAAUUCCAAAAUUUCCAUUUGUUUCUUUACAUUUUCUAUCUCUUUAUUGAUAUUCUCAGUUUGAAGACACACCGUCCUUUAGUUCUUCAGACAUAGUUUCCUUUAGCUCAUUGAAUAUAUUUAAAAUAGCUUAUUUAGAGUUUUUAUAUAGAAAGUCCAAUGUCUGCACUUCCUCAGGGACAGUCCCUGCUGAUUUCUUUUUUUCCAGUGUGCUUCUCAUUUCUUUGUAUGCCUUGUAAUUUUUCGUUUAAAACUGGACAUUUUGAAAACUACAAUGUGGCAACUCUGGAAACCAGAUUCUCUUCCCUCCCCAGGAUUUUUUGUUGUUGCUACUUGUAGUUGGGAUUUUUUUAGUGACUUUUCUGAACUAAUUCUCUAAAGUCCGUAUUCCCUGUCAUGUGUGGUCCCUGAAGUCUCUUGUUAGCUUAUGGUCAGCUCCUGAUUGGAUGGAGGUGUCCUUAAAGCCCUGGGACCAAAAAUUCUUCCAGUCUUUGCCAGGGGUCUCUGUUGUGUUUGGGCCACCCCGUCAACACUCGGCCAGGCAGUUCCCAACUCCGCCUUAGCCUUUACUUCCUGCUUCUGCAGAGCCUCAAAGUUAGCAGGAGGUGAGCACUAAGGGCCUUCUCAGGUCUUUCUUGAGAAUAUGCACUUGAAUAUGCACUUGGCCUUAUGGAUUCCUAUGAAUAUAUCAGAGCUUUUCAAAGCCCUUAAGUACAUGUCAUUCUCCAGGCUUUCCUCCCAAAUUUUUGGAUUAGUCUAUUGUUUGCCUCAACUGUUAUCUAUUCACCUCAAGCAGUAGUCAGUAAAUGUCUCCAGCAAAUGC
ensembl:lncRNA